UAAUCGUGUGAUAAAGAGGUGAAGUGAUUCAAAGUCACUUCUGUUGACCCCAGUAUGUGCACUUGUCCAAUUGCAACAAUUUGAAUCUCAAACUCAUUCUCAAUCACCAAGCAACAAUCAUGAAUACCCUGGUCCGAUUUUUAUAGACAAUUAAAUUCAGGAAGAAGUUAUGAAUCUGAUAGAAUUGAUCGUAAAUGACUAGUGUGAAAUAACAUGGGAAAUGCCACAAACUAAAGGGGAUAUACUUAGUUUCAUAACACACAAAAAAUAUAUUACAAUUUCUCUUAUCUACUAUUUGCAGUUUGCACUACAUUUGAGAAGAGCAAGCACAUACGCUAAGAGCAAGCACAUACGCUGCAGUUCAUAAAUUCCUCCACUAUGUUUCAGCAUCGCAAAUAGUGAGUACAGACUCCAGAUAACUCACAGGCUACUAUAAAUUGAUGCAGUCGAAACCUCCUCAAGAAUGAUUUCAACCAAGGCUGAAACUUGACUGAGUCUAAGUUUCAAGAUGAUAGUUUGGAAAAUUCAUCAGAAAUAAAAUUGCAAUUACUUAAGGCAAAAGACUCCAAGAUCUAAGAAAGGGGACAUAACAUUAAGUAGGAGAAAGCAUUAUAGUAGUUCAAGGAAAAAAAAAAGAAAGCUAA